rnacentral:rRNA from 1 species
GACGAACGCUGGCGGCGUGCCUAAUACAUGCAAGUCGAGCGAACAGAGAAGGAGCUUGCUCCUUCGACGUUAGCGGCGGACGGGUGAGUAACACGUGGGCAACCUACCUUAUAGUUUGGGAUAACUCCGGGAAACCGGGGCUAAUACCGAAUAAUCUGUUUCACCUCAUGGUGAAACACUGAAAGACGGUUUCGGCUGUCGCUAUAGGAUGGGCCCGCGGCGCAUUAGCUAGUUGGUGAGGUAACGGCUCACCAAGGCGACGAUGCGUAGCCGACCUGGGAGGGUGAUAGGCCACACUGGGACUGAGACACGGCCCAGACUCCUACGGGAGGCAGCAGUAGGGAAUCUUCCACAAUGGGCGAAAGCCUGAUGGAGCAACGCCGCGUGAGUGAAGAAGGAUUUCGGUUCGUAAAACUCUGUUGUAAGGGAAGAACAAGUACAGUAGUAACUGGCUGUACCUUGACGGUACCUUAUUAGAAAGCCACGGCUAACUACGUGCCAGCAGCCGCGGUAA